UCAUCGAACUGGAUAAACUCUCCCAAUGUCUCCUUUAUUGUUAUAGGAUUUAUUUGUUGCAUAUUUAUACUAAUCAUGACGUGAUAGAAUUUUUGGAUGUAUGAUGCAUAUAUGAUAUAUAUGAAAUUGUGCAUACUCUUAGUAGUCGAGGGUUAUGAUGAUAACAUGCAUAUUAUAUCAAUGUAAAUGUAUUAUAAUAUCAUGUUUCUCUUAUGCAAUUAUAGAUAUGCAUGUAGAGAUGUGUGGUAGUAUUAUUUGGAGCAUUACAUUACUAGCAGAACUAGUGGGCUUGAACUUGAAAAAUAAUAAAAUUUUGUUUGCUAUUGUUAGUGGGAAAACAUGACAUAUUGCAUGUUAAUUAUAAGAUGUAGUGUCAUGCCCCGAGCCCGCUUAUUUGGUCGGUUCGAGCACGUCGAACAGACGCCAAACGGAUAGCACCUCCCCUAUCCGCCCAAGGCUCAACACAAGUACAAAUCAAGUAUAUAGUUUGCACGAGCGGAAACAUAAUAUACAUGGCUUGCACGAGGGCAAGUAGUAGCCAAGAGUGAAAAAUUCUAAACUAAAUAUCCAUACAAGUACAAUGAUUAACUUUUAAUCACUUAUAUGCAUUCAACAUUCACAUGUCAUCCCAAAACAUAAGCUCUCUUACAUUUAAACUUCAUUUAUACAUUUUGCAUCUUCAAAUACAAAAGAAGAUAUAGAGGGUAUGUAACUAAGCAAAUAUGAAACUAUCUCGGGUAGUCACUGUCAGUGGCACGAUACCUUUACCGCGAUGGUCGGCCGGUUCACUUAGUCCCGGCUCUGUAGAAAAUAGUGGGGUGAGAACUACAACAAAGUUCCCAGUGGGUUCGGCCGCCGACCUCGCCGACUUUCCCACUAGGUCUAAAUCAGGCAUAAUAGAAGAAUAAACAGAUAGAUAGUAACCAACUAUAUAAAUGCAGUUAAUAUGUCUGAACAAUAAAUAACAAUAAGGAUGCUCAAUUAGAAUUCUCAUGAUGAAUGCAAGAUCUCAAUUCCAUUAUCCAAUCUCAUGGCCAACCCGUAGGUUUGCCUACAACUCACCAACUCAUAAUCCCAAACAUCGGGGAGACUACUUGUAAUACACUGAACUUCGGCAAACUGUGAAUCUGAGGGUUGGAAUAGUGAUUGGAACUCUUCUACAACUUUUGUAGGAUUGUUGAGAGGCUUCAGCAAAUUACUAGAGCAAGCAGAUAACUGGAAAUGGAAAAGUGCAUUGCAAGUGCAUUAUUCUAUUGCAAUGCUCUGAAAUUGGUCAAUUACGAAGUUCGAAUGUGGAAAAUGGUAAAUGAAACUGCCCUACAUAUUCUAAAGGGUUUGGACAAGUUUUUGGAUAAGUUAGAGGGUGAUUGGAAAGUUAAAAGUAAGAAAGUGCAUUGAUCUGGCGAAAUUCAGCAUUUUCUGCAUUGUGUACCGGUACAGCCAUCAUCGUGUACCGGUACACAGUGGCAGAAACGUGGCAGCAAGGUUAAUUUGGUAAUUUCACAUCUCAUCCCUAUCUAUUUGACCCGAGCACGACUUCUGGAGCAUUGUGGAGGAGGUUAGAGUUCAGAGGAAGGGUUUUGCACCUCCCCCACUUUCUCUCCUAGGGUUUCUCUCUCUUCGAGUAGAAAUCGUCGAUUUGCGCCUAUUUCUCGCCGUUCGUCGCGCUAGCUGGUUUGUGGACUUUGGAGCAGCUACGAGUGGGUGGAAAGGACUCGCAUGGGAGGUAUUUUCACAGCUCCAACUCUCAGGGAAGCUGAAUUGAAGUCUAGUGAGCUGGUUUGAGAUGGUUUAAAGCAGUAAUUGAGGAGUGGUUUUGCUGUAAUUCUUCACCCCAAAGUCAGAGUUAAAGCCUUCGAGGUUUCCAAAUUAAUUUGAGCUGAAUUUGUGACCUUGGAGACUGGUUUAGAAGGUGUUUCAACCUGGGCGAGGCUGCGAUUGACUUUCAGAUUAUCUUUGGCUGAUAUGUGAGAGCAAUUAGAGGCUUAACUUGAGCAGAGUUGGGGCUCCGUUGAGUUAAGUUUCGGGACUUCCUGUGGCUGGAUUGAGUUUAGUGAUAGAGCUUUCCACCGCGGGAAAGGCUAGGGUUCUUGGCGAGGGGUCUGCGGCUAGCUAGAGCCUUUUUGGACGUGUACUAGACGACCUCCACCAGUUUACGUAGUUUAGUACAGAGAUGUAUAUUAAGUUUUUGUAAAUUGUACUUUAUUCUUAUUUCCUGUAUUAAGGUUUGGAUUGUAUAAGUUUAAACUUAAAAGUCUUGCUCUGAUUAUCUGGUUAGAAUUAUAUACUUUUACUAUAUGGUUUGUAGAUGCCUUGUGUAUACUUGAGUUGUGGUGUACACGGCGGGUCUGUGCACGCGACCGGAUAUGCUUCCACUGGUACCCGGGCGUGACACUACUACGACCCGACAGGAUCGUCUUCUGGGGAGACUACUACGACCCAGUGAUGACUACUCAGGAGCUCAUCGCUCGAGGUGGAGCUACCACCCUCAAGCCAAGACUUAUAGGACAAGGAACCAGGGAAGGAGCUUCUUCGAUUUCCUAGCUUGGGAAUAUCAUUUUAUCCAAUUUCUUCUAAACUUGUAAGUGUAGGGAAUAGGCAACAAGUAGCUCUUGUUGCAUCUAGGUUUAGUGGAGAUGUCUGGCAUAAACGGUUAGGUCAUCCUAGUCUUUCUGUUCUUUUUACAUUUAUUAAAAAUAAUAAAACUGUUUCUGAUUCUAUGCUGAAAUUAUCUGUCUACAAUGCUUGUGAUAUGAAAAAACAUGUUAAACUCUCAUUUCA